GACGAACGCUGGCGGCGUGCUUAACACAUGCAAGUCGAACGGAAAGGCCCAGCUUGCUGGGUGCUCGAGUGGCGAACGGGUGAGUAACACGUGGGUGAUCUGCCUCUAACUUCGGGAUAAGCUUGGGAAACUGGGUCUAAUACCGGAUAGGACAAUCGUUUAGUGUCGGUUGUGGAAAGUUUUUUCGGCUAGGGAUGAGCCCGCGGCCUAUCAGCUUGUUGGUGGGGUAAUGGCCUACCAAGGCGUCGACGGGUAGCCGGCCUGAGAGGGUGGACGGCCACAUUGGGACUGAGAUACGGCCCAGACUCCUACGGGAGGCAGCAGUGGGGAAUAUUGCACAAUGGGCGCAAGCCUGAUGCAGCGACGCCGCGUGGGGGAUGACGGCCUUCGGGUUGUAAACCUCUUUCGACAGGGACGAAGCUUUGGUGACGGUACCUGUAUAAGAAGCACCGGCUAACUACGUG
rnacentral:rRNA from 1 species